CCCUUCUCCACGCACGAAACCCUUCUCCCCCAAAUUUCCUCCUGCCGGCCACGACCUCCCUUCGCCGCACGAACCAAACCUGAUCUCGCCGCCGCCUCCCUCACUACCCAAACCCGAUCUCACCACCACCUACCUCAUUGCCCAAACCCGAUCUCGCACCGCUUGCCCAACCGGAGAGCCGCCGAUGGGGUUGAACCGAUCUCGCCAGCUGGAGGAGCCAUCUGAGUCACCGCCGCCUGCUUCGCACUCGCGUCGCUCGAUCCGGCUAGUUCAGCCCGUCGUUUCUAGCCACGAACACCGCCGCCACUCCAGCCUCCUGACCACCGCAUGCCAUCGCCAUUCCAGUCUCUUGACCGUCGCGUGCCGCAUCGUCUUCCAACAGCUUGACUCUUAGAUUUUGAUUUGAGCUUAGGAAAUCACAGCAGCGACUGUCCAGCAGAUUCAAGAUCGUUCAACAAGAGUUUUGGUUCCAAGUCGUCGUCCAUUGGGAUUUAAAAUCUGUUAGAAGGAGAUUUUGGAGUCGAAUCUUGGGAGUGGUUGUUGAUCAAGUUCUUUGGGGCUGUUACUUCAAACCGCGGUUAUCGUUUGGUUGUCUGAUUUUAUCUGUGGAAUUUCAAUUAAGAUGAGGGUGGAGAUACACCAACGAUGGACAAGCGGAAUUCGUGAUCGAGCCACUGGGACUAGUUUUUAUGCUUCUGCAUAAUGAGAUUUAGAGUUCUUUUCAUGUUUCUCUUAAUGCUAGUUUUGACGUUUGAAACCUGUUAGUAAGAAUUGUUUUUCAUAUUUAUUUAUUAACAUUUAUGAUUUAUGGGUACCCUAUUCUUGUUUUAAUGUUUGCAUUUAAUAAAGGACUU